rnacentral:rRNA from 1 species
AGAACGAACGCUGGCGGCAUGCCUAAUACAUGCAAGUCGAACGAACUCUUCGGAGUUAGUGGCGCACGGGUGCGUAACGCGUGGGAAUCUGCCCCUUGGUUCGGAAUAACAGUUGGAAACGACUGCUAAUACCGGAUGAUGACGAAAGUCCAAAGAUUUAUCGCCAAGGGAUGAGCCCGCGUAGGAUUAGCUAGUUGGUGAGGUAAAGGCUCACCAAGGCAACGAUCCUUAGCUGGUCUGAGAGGAUGAUCAGCCACACUGGGACUGAGACACGGCCCAGACUCCGUACGGGAGCAGCAGUAGGGAAUAGUUGGACAGUGGG